rnacentral:lncRNA from 1 species
UAAAAUUUAUUAACUUUUAGAACACGCGAAGUACAUGUUCUCGAAGGAGAAGGAGUAUCAAAUUCAACCACAGGAGAAGCCAAAUUUUUAGUACAUUUCCUUAAUCCAGAUGUAACUGUACCUUUUUGGGUUCUUGGUACAGACUAUACAACAUACUCUGUGGGAUUCUCUUGUUUUGAACGAGAUGGUGUUUUCCUAGAGAGUCUCUUCCUCACAACAAGACACCAAUAUGUUACAGAAGACGAUAUAGAUAAUCUUGUCAAAGUUCUAAUAGACAACAAUCUCUCUGUAGAUGAUUUAGUAGUAGAUAGCCAAGAUUACUGCUAUUAUAAAUAAAAUAAAUAUAUUAGAAAUAUGAUUUUCUUAUGUACAAAUUGUAAUAAAUUUUAAUGUUAA